rnacentral:rRNA from 1 species
ACUCCUACGGGAGGCAGCAGUAGGGAAUCUUCCACAAUGGGCGCAAGCCUGAUGGAGCAACACCGCGUGAGUGAAGAAGGGUUUCGGCUCGUAAAGCUCUGUUGUUAAAGAAGAACACGUAUGAGAGUAACUGUUCAUACGUUGACGGUAUUUAACCAGAAAGUCACGGCUAACUACGUGCCAGCAGCCGCGGUAAUACGUAGGUGGCAAGCGUUAUCCGGAUUUAUUGGGCGUAAAGAGAGUGCAGGCGGUUUUCUAAGUCUGAUGUGAAAGCCUUCGGCUUAACCGGAGAAGUGCAUCGGAAACUGGAUAACUUGAGUGCAGAAGAGGGUAGUGGAACUCCAUGUGUAGCGGUGGAAUGCGUAGAUAUAUGGAAGAACACCAGUGGCGAAGGCGGCUACCUGGUCUGCAACUGACGCUGAGACUCGAAAGCGAU